rnacentral:rRNA from 1 species
UAAGGCAUAUGGUGGAUGCCUUGACACUAAAAGCCGAUGAAGGACGCAGCAGCCUGCGAUAAGCCUCGAGAAGGUGGCAAGCAACCUUUGAUCCGAGGAUUUCCGAAUGGGGAAACCUUACGACGGAAAAACGUCGUAAACGCCGCAAAACGGCGUGGGGUACCCGGGGAAGUGAAACAUCUCAGUACCCGGAGGAAAAGAAAAAAAUCUUGUGCUCCGCACAAGAAUAUUCCCUUAGUAGUGGCGAGCGAAAAGGGAAUGGUCUAAACCUUAUUUUUUUCAAACAAAGAGCGGAGAACAUCUAUCGAAAGAUAGGUUUCUUACUUUUUGUGGCGGCUGUCGGGCCAAGUAAAAAAAUAAGGGGUAGUGAGGUAAUAAUGUUUUGUUUCCGACAAAGCAAAGUAAAAUAAUAGCUUUUAAUCGAAAAGUUUGGAAUAACUUACCAAAGAAGGUGAAAGUCCUGUAGGUGAAAAAAGUAAUUUGUUUUAUAAUUAUUAAUCUCGAGUAAUUCUCAACCCGUCCGUUGAGAAUGAAUCAGGGCGAACUAUCGUCCAAGACUAAAUACUUUUAGUGAUCGAUAGUGAACUAGUACCGUGAGGGAAAGGUGAAAAGUAGCCCGGAGAGGGCAAUGAAAAGUACCUGAAACCAUAUGCUUACUGAGAGUCAGAGCCUCGUGCUUCGCACGAGGUGAUGGCGUUCCUAUUGAAGAAUGAACCAACGAGUUCAAACGCCUAGCUGGUUAAUCCUUAAAAAGGAGAAGCCUUAGUGAAAGCGAGCGUGAAAGCGCGUUUAUAGUUAGGCGCUUGAGACCCGAAACCGGGUGAGCUACCUAUGAUCAGGGUGAAUUUUAGAGAAAUCUAAGAGGAAGCCCGAACCCGUUGGUGGUGCAAAACCAUGGGAUGAAUUGUGGGUAGGAGUGAAAAGCUUAUCGAACUCGGUGAUAGCUGGUUCUCUCCGAAAUAGCUUUAGGGCUAGCCUCUGGUUAUUAAUUUUCGGGGGUAGAGCACUGAAAGGGUAAAGAUGGAGUAAUCCUACUUUGUCCUAUCAAACUCCGAAUACCGAAAAUCUUAUCCAGAGAGUCAGACAGUGGGGGCUAAGCUCCAUUGUCGAAAGGGAAACAGCCCAGACCUCCAUCUAAGGUCCUUAAAUUUUCUUCCUUUGUUCUUUUAGAACUUUGGAGGAUCUGCUGCGGCUUUAUGCCAAAGCGGAAGAUUAAGUGGGAAAAGCAGUGAGACGACUUGGACAACUAGGAAGUUGGCUUAGAAGCAGCCAUCUUUUAAAGAAAGCGUAACAGCUCACUAGUCAAGUUAUCUUGCACUGAAAAUUUAACGGGGCUUAAAUCUAAUACCGAAGAUGAGGAUCGUUCGUGUCAAGUGAAAACGAGACACGAACGUUGGUAGGAGAGCAUUCUUUUGGCAGUGAAGUCAAAUCGUAAGAUUUGGUGGAGCUAAAAGAAGAGAGAAUGUUGGUAUAAGUAAUAAAAAUUCCGGCGAGAAACCGGAACACCGCAAAUCCAAGGUUUCCCGGGCACUGAUUAUCAGCCCUGGGUUAGGCGGUCCUAAGUCUAAAACCGAAAGGUCAAGAUGAUGGACAGACGGUUAAUAUUCCGUCCCUUCUUUACUCCUCGAUGGGGUGACGUUUCUUUUUACUUUGAGCAUGAUCUGGCUAUUCGUGUCUAAGAAAAAAGUGGGUCUCUUUGGCAAAUCCGAGAGAUAAAAACUUUUUUCCCACGGAAUCCCCGCAAGGGGAAACUCAAGGGUCGAAGGAACCAAGAAAAACCUCUAAGAAUAAGAGUAAAGAAACCGUACCGCAAACCAACACUGGUGGAUGAGGAGAGUAUCCUCAGGUGGACGAGAGAACCCUCGUUUAGGAACUCGGCAAAAAAGCGGUCGUAAGUUCGCAAUAAGACCUUCCCCUUCUUCGGAAGGGGACGCAGCGAAAGUUUGUCAAGCGACUGUUUAAUAAAAACACAGGUCCCUGCUUAAAACCGUAAGGUGAUGUAUAGGGGCUGAUGCCUGGCCAGUGUCAGAACGUUAAGAGGAGGGGUGACGCCGAUGCUUCGCAUCGGUGAAGCUCUGAAUCGAAGCGCUGAUGAACGCCGGCGGUAACUAUAACCGUCUUAUAGUAGCGAAAUCCCUCGCCGGGUAAGUUCCGGCCCGCACGAAUGGCAUAACGACUUGACAACUGUCUCAACGAGGGACUCGAUGAAAUUGCAAUGGGCGUGAAGACGCGCUCUAUCCACGGCUAGACGGAAAGACCCCGUGAAGCUUUACUACAACUUGAUAUUGGAUUAAGGUUGAAUCUGUUCAGCGUAGGUGGGAGUUCCCUUCUUUAUAAGAAAGGGACGCCAAUGAGACACCACCCUGAUUUAAUUUUGAUUCUUAUCCGGCUUGAAAACCGGAGACAGUGUCUGGUGGGUAGUUUGACUGGGGCGGUCGCCUUUAAAAGAGUAACAAAGGCGCUUAUAAGGUCAGCUUAGGUCGGAUGGAAAUCGACCCAGACGUGUAAAGGCACAAGCUGGCUUUACUGCAAGACCGACGAGUCGAGCAGUUGCGAAAGCAGAACUUAGUGAUCCGACGCUUGCAUAUAGAAGCGGCGAAGCUCAACGGAUAAAAGCUACUCCGGGGAUAACAGGCUAGUCAGGCCUGAGCGUUCCUAGCGACGGCCUGGAUCGGCACCUCGAUGUCGGCCCAGCACAUCCUGGGGGUGGAGAAGCUCCCAAGGGUUUGGCUGUUCGCCAAUUAAAGUGUUACGCGAGCUGGGUUUAGAACGUCGCAAGACAGUUCGGUCCCCUACCUGCCGUGGACGUUGGAAACUUGAGAGGACUCUUCGAUAGUACGAGAGGACCUCGAAGAACAAACCUCUAGUGUACCGGUUGUUCUGCCAAGAGCAUUGCCGGGUAGCUACGUUUGGCGCGGAUAAACGCUGAAAGCAUCUAAGCGUGAAGCCGUCCUCAAGAUGAAGUUUCCUUAUAGGCUCCUAGGAGAUUACUAGGUUGAUAGGCUCUAGGUGUAAGACUGGCAACAGUUUUAGCCAAGGAGUACUAAUAGCCA